rnacentral:lncRNA from 1 species
CGUGUGCAUCAUGUUUAUUAACUUUGCGUAUUGGUGGUAUUUUUUAUCAUCUUUGAUUAUAGACUAUGUGAGAUCAUAACAAUAUCUUCUAUGUGAUCAUCAUUGGUUUUGCUCAAGUUUGCUUUGUAUUAAUAAUUGAAUUUGAUUAUGUUAAAAGAGCGUCAUUGUGUUCAUGUUUCAUUGUUAUAUCUGUAUAUGUGCCGAC